rnacentral:rRNA from 1 species
AGAAAGUAAGCAAGGGCAGACGGUGGAUGCCUUGGCUCUCGGAGGCGACGAAGGACGUGAUAAGCUGCGAAAAGCCCGGGGGAGGCGCAAAUAGCCCUUGAUCCCGGGAUAUCCGAAUGGGGCAACCCGGCAGGCUGAAGGCCUGUCAUCCCGUAAGGGAGGCGAACGUGGGGAACUGAAACAUCUAAGUACCCAUAGGAGGAGAAAAUAAACAAUGAUUCCGUAAGUAGUGGCGAGCGAACACGGAAGAGCCCAAACCCAUGUCGUCUAGGCGACACGGGGGUUGUAGGACCACGACGUGGCAAGAUAGAGUCAAGUGGAACGCCUUGGAAAAGGCGGUCAUAGAGGGUGAAAACCCCGUACACGACUGACGAUUGAAGCCUAGUGGCAUCCUGAGUAGCGCGGGGCACGAGAAAUCUUGCGUGAAACAGCGGGGCCCAUCCCGUAAGGCUAAAUACUCCCGAGAGACCGAUAGCGAACCAGUACCGUGAGGGAAAGGUGAAAAGAACCCCGAGCAGGGGAGUGAAAUAGACCCUGAACCCGUCUGCCUACAAGCGGUCGGAGCAUAGCAAUAUGUGACGGCGUGCCUUUUGCAUAAUGAACCUACGAGUUACCUUCCCCGGCAAGGUUAAGUACCUAAGGUACGGAGCCGAAGCGAAAGCGAGUCUGAAGAGGGCGGCCAGUCGGGGGGGGUAGACGCGAAACCGAGUGAUCUACCCUUGGCCAGGUUGAAGGUUGGGUAACACCAACUGGAGGACCGGAUGGGUAAGCGUUGAAAAGCUUUCCAAUGAGCUGAGGGUAGGGGUGAAAGGCUAAUCAAACUCGGAGAUAGCUCGUACUCCCCGAAAUGCAUUUAGGUGCAGCCUCUUUAUAGUAUAUCGUGAGGUAGAGCGACUGAUUGGAUGCGAGGGCUUCACCGCCUAUCAAGUCCAGAUAAACUCCGAAUGCGCGAUAUAUAUUUACAGGGAGUGAGGGCGCGGGUGCUAAGGUCCGUGUCCGAGAGGAGAAGAAUCCAGACCACCGGCUAAGGCCCCCAAAUGAUCGUUGAGUUGAACUAACGAGGUCGGAUCGCAGAGACAGCUAGGAUGUUGGCUUGGAAGCAGCCAUUCAUUUAAAGAGUGCGUAACAGCUCACUAGUCGAGCGAUCUGGCGUGGAUAAUAAUCGGGCAUAAACGAUCUGCCGAAGCCGUGGAUGUCGUAAGACAUGGUAGGGGAGCAUUCCAUGCGGCGUCGAAGAUGAGGGAUGACCCUUGUUGGAGCGCAUGGAAAAGCAAAUGUAGGUAUGAGUAACGAUAAGGGGGGCGAGAAACCCCCCCGCCGAAAGACCAAGGUUUCCUGAUCAACGCUAAUCGGAUCAGGGUGAGUCGGGACCUAAGGCAAAGCCGAACGGCGCCGCCGAUGGAAGAAUGGGUUAAUAUUCCCAUACUGCCUCAUGGAGUGACGUGGAGACGGAGAAGUGACAGUCCUGCCGGCUGACGGAAUAGCCGGUUGAAGGGUGUAGAUAUUGAUUCCCGUAGGCAAAUCCGCAGGGAGAGUCGAACCUGACAGUAUACCGAGUACUUGUACGAGGUAAUAUGGACGUAACCAUGCUCCCAAGAAAAUCCGCUAAACUUAUCCAUGCGGCACCCGUACCGUAAACGGACACACGUGGUCGGGUUGAGAAUACUGAGGCGCUCGAGUGACUCACGGUUAAGGAACUAGGCAAAUUGACCCUGUAACUUCGGGAUAAAGGGUCCUCGUCGUAAGGCGAGGCGCAGAGAAUAGGUCCAGGCAACUGUUUAACAAAAACACAUGGCUAUGCUAAAUGGAAACAUGACGUAUAUAGCCUGACACCUGCCCGGUGCUGGAAGGUUAAGAGGAGAUGUCAUCGCAAGAGAAGCGUUGAAUUGAAGCCCCAGUAAACGGCGGCCGUAACUAUAACGGUCCUAAGGUAGCGAAAUUCCUUGUCGGGUAAGUUCCGACCUGCACGAAUGGUGUAAUGAUCUGGACACUGUCUCAACCGUGAGCUCGGUGAAAUUGUAGUAUCGGUGAAGAUGCCGAUUACCCGCGAUGGGACGAAAAGACCCCGUGAACCUUUACUAUAGCUUUACAUUGAAUUUGGGCAGACGAUGUGUAGGAUAGGCCGGAGGCUUUGAAGGGGGUACGCCAGUAUCCUUGGAGCCGCCGUUGAAAUACGGCCCUUCGGUUGUUUGAGUUCUAACUCCUAGGCAGGAGGACACUGUAUGGUGGGUAGUUUGACUGGGGUGGUCGCCUCCAAAAGCGUAACGGAGGCUUCUAAAGGUGCCCUCAGACCGAUUGGUAACCGGUCGCAGAGUGUAAUGGCAUAAGGGCGCUUGACUGGGAGAGAUACAACUCGAUCAGGUAGGAAACUAGAGCAUAGUGAUCCGGUGGUUCCGCAUGGAAGGGCCAUCGCUCAAAGGAUAAAAGGUACUCCGGGGAUAACAGGCUGAUCAUUCCCAAGAGCUCAUAUCGACGGAAUGGUUUGGCACCUCGAUGUCGGCUCGUCACAUCCUGGGGCUGGAGAAGGUCCCAAGGGUUGGGCUGUUCGCCCAUUAAAGUGGCACGCGAGCUGGGUUCAGAACGUCGUGAGACAGUUCGGUCUCUAUCUAUCGUGGGCGCAGGAGAUUUGAGGGGCUCUGACACUAGUACGAGAGGACCGUGUUGGACGUACCACUGGUUUACCGGUUGUCCCGCCAGGGGCACCGCCGGGUAUCUAAGUACGGAUCGGAUAAGUGCUGAAAGCAUCUAAGUACGAAGCCGGCCUCAAGAUUAGAUCUCCCUCAAGGGUGGUUAUAGACGAUGACCUUGAUAGGCCACAGGUGUAAGGGCGGCGACGUCCGAGCCGAGUGGUACUAAUAGCCCGGGACUUUCCUCA